UACGUAGGUGGCGAGCGUUGUCCGGAUUUACUGGGCGUAAAGGGAGCGUAGGCGGACUUUUAAGUGAGAUGUGAAAUACUCGGGCUCAACUUGAGUGCUGCAUUUCAAACUGGAAGUCUAGAGUGCAGGAGAGGAGAAUGGAAUUCCUAGUGUAGCGGUGAAAUGCGUAGAGAUUAGGAAGAACACCAGUGGCGAAGGCGAUUCUCUGGACUGUAACUGACGCUGAGGCUCGAAAGCGUGGGGAGUAAACAGG
rnacentral:rRNA from 1 species